rnacentral:rRNA from 1 species
AUACGUAGGUCCCGAGCGUUAUCCGGAUUUAUUGGGCGUAAAGCGAGCGCAGGCGGUUAGAUAAGUCUGAAGUUAAAGGCUGUGGCUUAACCAUAGUACGCUUUGGAAACUGUUUAACUUGAGUGCAGAAGGGGAGAGUGGAAUUCCAUGUGUAGCGGUGAAACGCGUAGAUAUAUGGAGGAACACCGGUGGCGAAAGCGGCUCUCUGGUCUGUAACUGACGCUGAGGCUCGAAAGCGUGGGGAGCAAACAGGAUUAGAUACCNCUGGUAGUC